AUUGAACGCUGGCGGCAUGCCUUACACAUGCAAGUCGAACGGUAACAGGUUAAGCUGACGAGUGGCGAACGGGUGAGUAAUAUAUCGGAACGUGCCCAGUCGUGGGGGAUAACUGCUCGCAAGAGCAGCUAAUACCGCAUACGACCUGAGGGUGAAAGCGGGGGCUCGCAAGACCUCGCGCGAUUGGAGCGGCCGAUAUCAGAUUAGGUAGUUGGUGAGGUAAAGGCCCACCAAGCCGACGAUCUGUAGCUGGUCUGAGAGGACGACCAGCCACACUGGGACGGAGGCACGGCCCAGACUCCUACUGGAGGCAGCAGUGGGGAAUUUUGGAGAAUGGGCGCAGGCCUGAUCCAGCCAUGCCGCGGGCUGGAAGAAGGCCUUCGGGUUGUAAACCGCUUUUGUCAGGGAAGAAAAGGUUCUGGCUAAUACCUGGGACUCAUGACGGUACCUGAAGAAUAAGCACCGGCUAACUACGUG
rnacentral:rRNA from 1 species